UUAAAGUUUUAUUUUGGCUUAAAAAUUUGUUAUUAAUUUAUUUUAUAUGUAAAUUUUUGUGUGAAUUUUUAUUUAUUUUAAUAAUAAAUAAAUUUUAUUUAGUCGCAGUAAUUAAUAUUAUUAAUUAAAGAAAUUUAGAAAUAGAAAUAUUAAAUAGUAUUGGCUAAAUUUGUGCCAGCAGUUCGCGGUUAUACAAAUAAUACAAAUAAAUUUAAUUAGUAAAAGUUAAAUUAAAGGUUAUUUAAAUAUAUAAGUAAAUUUAUAAGGUGAAAUUUUAAAUUUAUAAAAUAUUUAAUUUGGUUAAUUGAAGCUUAAAAAUUUUAAAUAUAAACUAGGAUUAGAUACCCUAUUAUUUAAAAUGUAAUUUGUUUACUAAAGUAGUAAUAGUUAUGUUCUUGAAACUUAAAAAAUUUGGCGGUAUUUUAGUCUAUUCAGAGGAACCUGUCCUAUAAUCGAUAAUCCACGUUGGACCUUACUUAAAUUUGUUUAUCAGUUUGUAUACCGUCGUUAUAAGAAUAUUUUAUUAGAAUAAUAAUUUUCUAGAAUUUUUAUAAAAAUUUAUAUCAGAUCAAGGUGCAGCUUAUAUUUAAGUAGAGAUGGGUUACAAUAAAAAUAUUUAUAUGAAUUAGUUUUUGAAAUAAGAUUAUAAAGGUGGAUUUGAAAGUAAAAUUAUAAAGAUAAAUAAUUUGAUUUUAGCUCUAAAAUAUGUACACAUCGCCCGUCACUCUUAUUAUUAAGGUAAGAUAAGUCGUAACAUAGUAGAUGUACUGGAAAGUGUAUCUAGAAUG
rnacentral:ncRNA from 1 species